AUGGAACCGCCCCUGCCCGGCCCUACAGGGGCGCAGGAUCAGACCCCCGCACCCUCACAGUGUCCUCACCCUCACAUCGUCCUUCUGCGCCCCCAGUCUCUGCCUGUCCCGGGCUCAGAGCUCAAUGGUGUCGCUGGAGAGGCUGCGGGAGUCCAGCGCCUUGCCGAGAGCUGGGAAGGCGCGGGGACCCUCCCGCUCGCAGCCGGGGGCUCCGGCGGGCACCAGGAGCGGGGCCCGGCUGGGCGCCUCGUCCAGGGGCAGGCUGUCGGGCGAGGACAGCCCGUGGCGCCAGGGGUUCCAGCUGAUCUUCAGCGAGCUGCUCUCCAGCGAGCUGGCCGAGGCGGUGACGGUGACAGUGAUGGUGCCGUGGGGCUGGCGGGGGCCGGGCAGCUCCGUGAGCGAGCUGCAGCGCACCAUGCGCCCCAGGCUGGGGGUCUUGUCGGGGGCAGGGGAGCCGUGCAGCGAGGAGCCGGAGCCGCGGCGGGCCCGGCCGAAGAGGCCGUCGUGCAGGAGGUGGCGGCGGCAGAGCGCCUGGUCGAUGCUACGGCGCAGGUCGAUGGGGGACGGCGGGCGGAAGAUGAGCUCCCCCAGGGAGGGCGACGAGCCCUGCUCGAAGGCGGCGCAGGAGCGGGCGGCCAGCAUGUUGGGGCACUUGGGGCUGAGCCCCGGCAUCCCGGUGCCGGCUGCCCAGACCUCGUUGCUGUCCUUCAGAGCCCGCAGCGGCAGCUGCUCCGCCGGGUUGCGGAUGAGGUUCUUGGAGAUGUCGUUGGCGGGUGUCCGCUCCGCGCCGCUGCCGCCGGUGCCGCCGCCGGCCCAGUCGUAGCAGUUGUUGGGGUAUUCGGGUGCCUCAGCUUUGCGGCCGGCGCAGAAGUACCGCAAUGCCUUGGCCCAGCAGGAGUGGCCGGCGGGGCUCCGGCGGCGGCACCGGCAGCACACGGGCUCGGCGGCGGCCGCCAGCAGCGCCAGGGCCGUGCCCAGCUCGCCGAUCCGCAGCCAGAGCUGUGCCGCCCAGCUGGGCCGGGAGAAGCGCCCCUGGGGCCCCAGCACUGCUCGCAGCCACACAGCGCUGAAGAGCUGCAGCCCGCAGACCGGCAGCCCCGCCACCGCCGCCGCCAGCAGCGCCCGCGCCCCCGCCUGCGGCCCCGGCCCCUCGCAGGGCGCCCGCAGCGCCCGCCAGCACCCCCAGAGCCCCCCCAGCAGCAGCAGAGCCCCCGCCCCGCAGCCCAGCGCCUGCAGCCCCAGCGCGGCCGUGAGCCCCAGCCGAGGCGGCAGCAGGUCGGCGGCGCCCAUCACCGCACCCUGCAGGGCAGCAGCAGCCCCCAGCGCCGGCAGCCCCCGCAGCCGGGACGGCAGCAGCUGAAGCUGGGCCAGGCGCUGCAGCCGCUGCAGCAGGAGGGCAAAGGCGGCGAGCAGCAGGGGGAAAGGGGCCGUGUUGAGCAGCAGCAGCGCCGCAGGGGGCAGGCGGCCCCGUGCCCCGUAGGGAUCCAGCAGCAGGAAGGUGGCCCGCAGCAGGCAGGCGGCUAG
rnacentral:lncRNA from 1 species